AGUGAACGCUGGCGGCAGGCCUAACACAUGCAAGUCGAACGGCAGCACAGAGGAGCUUGCUCCUUGGGUGGCGAGUGGCGGACGGGUGAGGAAUACAUCGGAAUCUGCCUAUUUGUGGGGGAUAACGUAGGGAAACUUACGCUAAUACCGCAUACGACCUACGGGUGAAAGCGGAGGACCUUCGGGCUUCGCGCAGAUAGAUGAGCCGAUGUCGGAUUAGCUAGUUGGCGGGGUAAAGGCCCACCAAGGCGACGAUCCGUAGCUGGUCUGAGAGGAUGAUCAGCGACACUGGAACUGAGACACGGUCCAGACUCCUACGGGAGGCAGCAGUGGGGAAUGUUGGGCAAUGGGCGCAAGCCUGAUCCAGCCAUGCCGGGUGGGUGAAGAAGGCCUUCGGGUUGUAAAGCCCUUUUGUUGGGAAAGAAAAGCAGUCGGUUAAUACCCUAUUGUUCUGACGGUACCCAAAGAAUAAGCACCGGCUAACUUCGUGCCAGCAGCCGCCGUAAAAC
rnacentral:rRNA from 1 species